UACGUAGGUGGCAAGCGUUAUCCGGAAUUAUUGGGCGUAAAGCGCGCGUAGGCGGUUUUUUAAGUCUGAUGUGAAAGCUCACAGCUCAACCGGGAAGGGGCAUUGGAAACUGUAAAACUUGAGUGCAGAAGAGGAAAGUGGAAUACCAUGUGUAGCGGUGAAAUGCUCAGAGAUAUGGAGGAACACCAAUGGCGAAGGCGACUUUCUGGUCUGUAACUGACGCUGAUGUGCGAAAGCGUGGGGAUCAAACAGG
rnacentral:rRNA from 1 species